rnacentral:rRNA from 1 species
UACGAAGGGUGCAAGCGUUACUCGGAAUUACUGGGCGUAAAGCGUGCGUAGGUGGUGAGUUAAGCCUGUCGUGAAAGCCCCGGGCUCAACCUGGGAAUGGCGAUGGAUACUGGCUCGCUAGAGUGCGGUAGAGGAGAGUGGAAUUCCCGGUGUAGCAGUGAAAUGCGUAGAGAAUCGGGAGGAACAUCAGUUGCGAAGGCCGGCUCUCUGGACCAGCACUGACACUGAGGCACGAAAGCGUGGGAGCAACAGG